rnacentral:rRNA from 1 species
GACGAACGCUGGCGGCGUGCUUAACACAUGCAAGUCGAACGAAGUGGCGAACGGGUGAGUAACGCGUAAUCAACCUGCCCUUCAGAGGGGGACAACAGUUGGAAACGACUGCUAAUACCGCAUAAUGAAGGAGGGGAUUGCGUCUGAUUAGCUAGUUGGAGGGGUAACGGCCCACCAAGGCGAUGAUCAGUAGCCGGUCUGAGAGGAUGAACGGGCAAAUGGGGACUGAGACAAGGCCCAGACUCAGACUGGAGGCAGCCAGGGGGAAUCUUCCGCAAUGGACGAAAGUCUGACGGAGCAACGCCGCGUGAGUGAUGACGGCCUUCGGGUUGUAAAGCUCUGUUAAUCGGGACGCGGUACCGGAAUAGAAAGCCACGGCUAACUACGUGCCAGCAGCCGCGGUAAUUC